rnacentral:misc_RNA from 1 species
AACGCAUAUUGCGCCCUUUGGUAUUCCUUAGGGCACGCCUGUUCGAGCGUCAUUACACCACUCAAGCUCUGCUUGGUAUUGGGUGCUGCGCCUGCCGCACGCCUUAAUGUCGCCGGCUGAGUCGUCCGUCUCCUAGCGUUGUGGAACUCCUUUUCGCUUCGGGGCGCGGGCGAGGCACGCCGUUAACAACACCUUUUUUUCAGGUUGACCUCGGAUCAGGCGGGGAUACCCGCUGAACUUAA